AGAGUUUGAUCCUGGCUCAGGAUGAACGCUAGCUACAGGCUUAACACAUGCAAGUCGAGGGGAAACGAUAUUGGAAGCUUGCUUCCGAUAGGCGUCGACCGGCGCACGGGUGAGUAACGCGUAUCCAACCUGCCCACCACUUGGGGAUAACCUUGCGAAAGUAAGACUAAUACCCAAUGAUACCUCUAGAAGACAUCUGAAAGAGAUUAAAGAUUUAUCGGUGAUGGAUGGGGAUGCGUCUGAUUAGCUUGUUGGCGGGGUAACGGCCCACCAAGGCAACGAUCAGUAGGGGUUCUGAGAGGAAGGUCCCCCACAUUGGAACUGAGACACGGUCCAAACUCCUACGGGAGGCAGCAGUGAGGAAUAUUGGUCAAUGGACGAGAGUCUGAACCAGCCAAGUAGCGUGCAGGAAGACGGCCCUAUGGGUUGUAAACUGCUUUUAUAAGGGAAUAAAGUGAGAGUCGUGACUCUUUUUGCAUGUACCUUAUGAAUAAGGACCGGCUAAUUCCGUGCCAGCAGCCGCGGUAAUACGGAAGGUCCGGGCGUUAUCCGGAUUUAUUGGGUUUAAAGGGAGCGUAGGCCGGAGAUUAAGCGUGUUGUGAAAUGUAGACGCUCAACGUCUGCACUGCAGCGCGAACUGGUUUCCUUGAGUACGCACAAAGUGGGCGGAAUUCGUGGUGUAGCGGUGAAAUGCUUAGAUAUCACGAAGAACUCCGAUUGCGAAGGCAGCUCACUGGAGCGCAACUGACGCUGAAGCUCGAAAGUGCGGGUAUCGAACAGGAUUAGAUACCCUGGUAGUCCGCACGGUAAACGAUGGAUGCCCGCUGUUGGUCUGAAUAGGUCAGCGGCCAAGCGAAAGCAUUAAGCAUCCCACCUGGGGAGUACGCCGGCAACGGUGAAACUCAAAGGAAUUGACGGGGGCCCGCACAAGCGGAGGAACAUGUGGUUUAAUUCGAUGAUACGCGAGGAACCUUACCCGGGCUUGAAUUGCAGAGGAAGGAUUUGGAGACAAUGACGCCCUUCGGGGCCUCUGUGAAGGUGCUGCAUGGUUGUCGUCAGCUCGUGCCGUGAGGUGUCGGCUUAAGUGCCAUAACGAGCGCAACCCCUCUCCUUAGUUGCCAUCAGGUUAAGCUGGGCACUCUGGGGACACUGCCACCGUAAGGUGUGAGGAAGGUGGGGAUGACGUCAAAUCAGCACGGCCC
rnacentral:rRNA from 1 species